GUGAUAGUAGCUCAAUGGUAGAGCCCUGGGUUGUGGUCCCAGUGGUUGCCGGUUCGAAUCCGGUCUAUCACC
rnacentral:tRNA from 1 species